GGGGCUGUAGCUUAGUGGUAGAGCAUCUGCUUUGUAUGCAGAAGUCCCAGGUUCAAUCUCUGGCACCUCCA